AUCCCACGAGAUAACAUUGUUGAUUUGUUGAAUAUGUUGAUUUUCAUUUGAUCAAAACAAUACAUCCAGUAUUCAGGUUUGCAACACUGCACAACAUAGCACUGCUAUCAGUGUGCUUUUUUCUCCUGUGUGCUUGAAUUAUGUCAGCUAAACCUAUUUACGAGGAAGACGCGAAGAGAUUGUUGUCAAAGUAUUUACAGAACACUGAUUUUGUAAAAUGUCAGAACGCUUUGGUAACUGAAAGCCAGCAAUGGGAUGAUGUGAUCAGCAAAAAUGAAUGGCUUAAUACUCAG